rnacentral:rRNA from 1 species
UACAGAGGGUGCGAGCGUUGUUCGGAAUUAUUGGGCGUAAAGGGCGCGUAGGCGGUUCGUACAGUCAGACGUGAAAUUCCUGGGCUCAACCUGGGGGCUGCGUUUGAUACGUGCGGACUUGAGUGCGGAAGAGGGUCGUGGAAUUCCCAGUGUAGAGGUGAAAUUCGUAGAUAUUGGGAAGAACACCGGUGGCGAAGGCGGCGACCUGGUCCGAUACUGACGCUGAGGCGCGAAAGCGUGGGGAGCAAACAGG